UACGGGGGGGGCAAGCGUUGUUCGGAAUUACUGGGCGUAAAGGGCUCGUAGGCGGCCAACUAAGUCAGACGUGAAAUCCCUCGGCUUAACCGGGGAACUGCAUCUGAUACUGGAUGGCUUGAGUUCGGGAGAGGGAUGCGGAAUUCCAGGUGUAGCGGUGAAAUGCGUAGAUAUCUGGAGGAACACCGGUGGCGAAGGCGGCAUCCUGGACCGACACUGACGCUGAGGAGCGAAAGCCAGGGGAGCGAACAGG
rnacentral:rRNA from 1 species